CACAAAAGCGACGUUUAAUUCGGCGUCUGGUAGCGCAGGAUUUUUUUUUCGGCAAGCACAAAAAGAAAGGAAUUAUUAGUACUUGAUAAACAUUUACAAUGGGCACGUCCAACCCAAUUAAUAGCACAGUAUUUCAGAUGAAUAACGACAAAGUGGAAGUACUCUCAAUAUAGUAAACAUGUCAUACCUUGAUGGUACUCUUCGUUGAAUCAAAUGAGAUUAAUUACCUGUCUUGACGGUGAACGUAACGGAAUCUGCAUAACCGCCACUAGUGAAUGCUCGCAUUCGUACAUGGUGAUAUCCUCACCAAUGACGUACUUGACGGCACUCAUGUGGCCAUAAUCGACUACAUGGUUGGCUGAAAUUUAAAGUUGAAAAAUAUAUUAAUUUAUAUAAACUAUACUACAAUGUUAGAACUCGAUUAUAUGGUUGUUACUGACAGUAAGCUGGAUUCCAGGAUUUUCGAGUUGCCUGAUAAGGGAUAACAAAUUCUGCCAGCAUGGAUUCUUGCCAGGCUGAGAUAUUAGGCCAGUUUCCAUUCCUAAUGUCAAGUCUAGCCUGUCGUGCAGUAUUGUAUCCAACCUCAGAUACUGUUAUAGCAUAAAACAAGAUCUCUCCGUUUGUAUGGGGAAAAAUAGGCAGCAACACGACAGCUGUGGUUGUCGUUCUUUGUGCCUUCUGAGGAUCUAAUGUGAUCAGUUUGACAUAAUCUUUACUCGGUUGUGCAGGAACUAUAAAUUAAUAUUAACAGCUGGAUACAGAACGCUAGUCGAGUCGGGUGCUCCUAGUACAUCCAAGUCAAUUACUUUCGCUGAUACUUCGAAAGUAUAAUUGUAUUCCGCCUUUAAUUCUCCAAGAUUAAUCGAGAAUAUAUCAUUAUUGCCAAUAGCUGUAGUUAUAUUAUAUAUUCGAUCGAAGAAAUCGUCAUUAAAAUCUGUUCUUGUACCAUAAACGGAAAUAUGGAAGUAAUCAAUCUCCCCAUGUAAGGCACAUGGUAAACUCCAUGAUACAGUAGUAUCCAAAGUGUCUGGAUCAUUUUCGUUAUUGGUAAUGGAGUAUGACAAAAGUUCUACAGUGCCAGGAACUAAAAGAACAAUAAAAAUAAAGGUUCAUACAAUUGUCAUUAAAUGA